AAAUUUGUCAUUAGUAUUUGGGGGUUUCGCGGGGUCGGCUGUAGCAUCGGUUUAAAAAGGAUAUUUUUGUUAAAAUGGAAUGCAGGGCGAAGUUCAACAUUUCGCGAACAGAAUAGCAUUUGGCACAACUUUAAACAGAAAUAUUUGGCAAGUAGACAACAAAUUUCCAAAUAUCGGACCUCAAACUUAUUGCAAUCCUAACGACAAUUUCAUAGAUAUUUUGUCUCGAAAAAUUCGAAGUAAUCGAGGUGUGGGGUAUUUUGCAAGCACAUCAGUUUAUAAUCCAAUAAAAGUCAGAACUCCGUCACCUACAAGAUAUCAACCAAAUAUUAAGUUCGAAGAAAAGAAAAAAAUUUCAAUACCGUUCAAUUAUAAACAGUACAAGCCACCAAUAAGUACGACUCCUGGUCCAGGAACAUACAAUUUAAACAAGAAGAAGUGCAACAAAUUAAAUUAUUCCUGCGUUAAAGGUAAAGUUAAUAUGAAGCCUUGCGUUGACAUGCAUUGCAAUAAGCAUAUCACUCACACAUGCCACAAAUGCAAGAGUGUUUGUAAAGGCGAUUAUUUCCAUAAAAAUUUUGAAGUCUUUCUGUGUCAGUUGUGCUGGAUUCAACAACGGAUACAACGCGAUACUUACAAUUAUGAUGAACUCAAGAAAUUUAUCAAAAUUAGGGAUUGUACGCGGUUCCACAAGCAUAAUAUGCCGUCGAUUUAUGGAAACAUAGAGCCACGUCGGGAAAUAAUUAAACAACUUAGUUUAGAAAAUUAUUUAAAUAUGUACAUUACUGAUUUCGAUACAAAAAUCUAUUAAAUCAUGCAACGUAAA